rnacentral:lncRNA from 10 species
AAAAGCUGUCUGCUCAAGCUCAGGUGGGAAGAAGAUUUCUGUUCAAUGAAAGCAAAAACCAACAUGUUCAGCGUCCUCUGGGAUAGCCCCAAUUAGGGCAGGUAAAAAUGCAGUUUCACUGAGCGCCAGACAAAUGCACAGUUGACAGUUCCUCUACCCACUUCUUUCCCAGGUAAAAUGCGGAUUCAGUGAACGCUGAUCAAAGCCUCUAAAGAAUGCAACCGCUUGCCUCUUUUAUCUCCUCCUCCCCCCCUUUUUUUUUCUUUACUCCUUCCCCUGCUGCCCGCUAUUUCCCCUUUAAAGACUGAAGUCUCCAAACCCUCUUUGGAAAAAGCACAGACGGUCCUGUGGUUUUGUGUUCCUUUUUCC